rnacentral:rRNA from 1 species
GACGAACGCUGACGGUGUGCUUUAGACAUGCAAGUCGAACGAGAAAGCCCUUCGGGUUAGUAAAGUAGGCGAACGGGUGAGUAACACGUGGGCAAUCUGCCCCUCGCAGGGGGACAACCGGAGGAAACCCCGGCUAAUACCCCGUAAGUUCAAAGGGAGGCAUCUCCCCUUGAAGAAAGGUAGCUUCGGCCAUCCGGCGAGGGAUGAGCCCGCGGUGCAUUAGCUAGUUGGUGGGGUAACGGCCCACCAAGGCGACGAUGCAUAGCUGGUCUGAGAGGAUGAUCAGCCACACUGGGACUGAGACACGGCCCAGACUCCUACGGGAGGCAGCAGUCGGGAAUCUUGCGCAGUGGGCGAAAGCCCUGACGCAGACAACACCGUGUGUGUGAGGAAGGCCCUCGGGUCGU